rfam:Fungal sp. No.14919 DNA, contig: Contig0008.
UCUCGAUUGGUCUAGUGGUCAGGAUACCUGCUUGUCAUCAUUCGACAAGCCGCAGGUGGCCGGGGUUCGAUUCCCCGAUCGAGAG